UCGCCCUGGGGCUCUCACGCAGAAGGACUGGGUUUAAUUGUCCCAAUUCUCCAAACAGCUCCAAUACUACUACUAAUGCUGAUAAAUCAAUACACGUUCAUACAUGCCUUUAGAAAUAACUUUCUUAAAGACCUAGGGCAGUUUAGAGAGGCGUAAUGUGGCCUCUGACUGGUACGUUAUUUCGCCUUUUUGGCAUUAUAUAGCUGAACAACGGCUUUACCAGUGUUUGCAAGUUCUGAUGAGGCCCGUAUUUAGCUAAAAAGGCGAAAUAACGUGCCUAUGGUUACUUGAGUGGAGGGCUUCAAGGGUAUAGCGAUGCCGAUUGGGGAGGAGAUCCUGAUGACAGAAGAUCGACAACAGGUUACUUGUUCACCAUGCAAAGGGCUGCCAUAUCCUGGAGCGAAAGGAAGCAACCAACCGUAACCCUUUCAUCAUGCGAGGAGGAAUUCAUGGUACUUUCGCGGGCCAUUCAAGAGGCGAUGUGGUGGAAGAAUCUGCGUUCGGAGCUAACAGAAGGUCGAGCAAUGCCAACCUACUGCGAACAAUGGUUCGUAUAAUCCAAGAACGAAGCAUACCAAACUGCGGAUGGAUUCAUGAAACCAAUGACCCUUUUGAAACAAGCUAAGUUAAGCAAACCCCACACGCAUCAAUAUAUUGACGCGAAGGGGAAUUAUUGACAAUAAUAUUGAUGAUGUGAAUUCAGAAAUAUUGUCAAUCUCGAUAUAUUGACGUCAAUAUUGAAUGUAUUGACAAUACGAUUAUUGUCAAUAAAAACAAUCGUGUACGGUCCACAUUACGCCAAUUCGCGAACCCCACACGUAUCAAUGUAUUGAAAAGGGAAUUAUUGACAAUAAUAUUGAUGAUUUAAAUACAGAAGUAUUGUCAAUAUCGAUGUAUUUACGUCAAUAUAUCAGUGUCAACAUUUCAAAGGGGCGUAAUUGCAUUUGUAAACAAUGGCUUUAGCCUUCGAUUUCUCGUGAAUUAAAGGUCAAUCAUGAAGAUUAAUGACACCAGCAGAUAGAGGAAUGUUACCUUUACCAGCUAGCAUUGUUAAUUUGGAGAGGUGAACUUUUAUUUGCGAGAAAUCGACGGCUAAAGCCAUUGUUUACAAAAUCAAUUACGUCCCUUUGAAAUGUUGGCACUGAUAUGAUGUAUUGGCGUCAAUAUAGAAUGCAAUCGGGAUUAAGGAGGAGUGAAAACCAAGCAACCCGCGAUUUUGUCACGAUACCAAGCUUGUAUUGUAAAUACUAGUAUUUAGGGAAUAAACGUUCGUUCCACUUUGUUCCUUCAUCCCUGAUGGAAGCACAGUUUUUCCUUUUAAAUCUGCAAGAACUAUAUGAGAAAGGUAUAUGGUAUCUUCCAUCAAUCCAAACGUCGAUUUUUGAUCAUCAUUGAUGAUUACCUCGAAUACUUCGGAGCAGCAACAUAAUGAUGUGAUUCCUCUGAAAUUAUGGACAUUCCCACGCGCCAGGAAAUUUGCUCAACAAGUCAAAUAACUUCGUCGACGUUUCCGAACGGACCAGCAGUAAACGAGAAACUUUUUGAAGGGUAAGAUUGACGGUAUUUUAACUGACGGCGAUCGAAUGCAUCUCUUGGAACAUCACUUGUAACAAUCGUAGCUUGAUUUGGUGAGGGCGAGAUUUCGUUGAACGAACUGGUUAGCUAGGAGGAGGAGAAGGAGUGUAUCCAUGUUUCUUCUUGGCCAGAAAUCCCCUCGCGGUGCCUCGCAAACGAAACACUUAUUCUUCACUCGAGUCUACCGAAAAAUUAAAAAAAAAAUAAAUAAUUCCGGAUGGCUCGUUUCAGAACCUAGAACUAUAGUCGCUUUAUGUAGAGUCGGUUCAUGUUUCCUAUUGGCGUUGACGGCACCGUCGAAAAAUUCCAGAACAACAUGUGAAAAGGGCAUACAAGCUUUUUGUAAACAAACCUUUGUAGGCCCUUUUCUCACCAACCGAGGGUCGCCCACGUAAACCAGCAAUAUCAUCGGGAAGGGGAAAGUGUCCCCUACCCGGUGAUGUUAAAGGUUUGCGUUGGUGUCAUAUGGGUGGCGAGAAAAGGGCAUAAGAAGGUUUGUUUACAAAAAGCUUGUAUGCCCUUUUCACAUGUUGUUCUGGAAUUGUCUCUUC